GGGGAAUAUUGCACAAUGGGCGAAAGCCUGAUGCAGCAACGCCGCGUGAGUGAUGAAGGUCUUCGGAUUGUAAAGCUCUGUCUUUUGGGACGAUAAUGACGGUACCAAAGGAGGAAGCCACGGCUAACUACGUGCCAGCAGCCGCGGUAAUAUGUAGGUGGCGAGCGUUGUCCGGAUUUACUGGGCGUAAAGGGUGCGUAGGCGGAUGUUUAAGUGAGAUGUGAAAUACCCGGGCUUAACUUGGGUGCUGCAUUUCAAACUGGAUAUCUAGAGUGCAGGAGAGGAGAAUGGAAUUCCUAGUGUAGCGGUGAAAUGCGUAGAGAUUAGGAAGAACACCAGUGGCGAAGGCGAUUCUCUGGACUGUAACUGACGCUGAGGCACGAAAGCGUGGGUAGCAAACAGGAUUAGAUACC
rnacentral:rRNA from 1 species